AGAGUUUGAUCAUGGCUCAGGGUUGAACGCUAGCCGCAUGCCUAACACAUGCAAGUUGAAUGGAAUACUAUGCUUGGGCAUAACCUAUUCCAUGGCGAACGGGUGAGUAACGCGUGAGAAUCAACCUUCAGGAUGGGGAUAACCUUCGGAAACGAAGAUGAAUACCCAAUAUCCCGAGAGGGAAAAGCUCCGGCACCUGAAGACGAGCUCGCGUCUGAUUAGUUAGUUGGUGAGGUAAUGGCUUACCAAGGCAAUGAUCAGUAGCUGGUUUGAGAGGAUGAGCAGCCACACUGGUACUGAGACACGGACCAGACCGCUACGGCGGGCAGCAGUGAGGAAUAUUCCGCAAUGGGCGAAAGCCUGACGGAGCGAUGCGGCGUGAAGGAUGAAGGUCUACGGAUCGUAAACUUCUUUACCUAGAGAAGAAGAAUGACGGUAUCUAGGCAAAAAGCAUUGGCUAACUUCGUGCCAGCAGCCGCGGUAAGACGAGGAAUGCAAGCGUUAUCCAGAAUUAUUGGGCGUAAAGAGCCUGUAGGUGGCCUUCAAAGUCUUUUGUGAAAGGGUACGGCUCAACCGUACAUGUGCAAUGGAAACUCGGAGGCUUGAGUAUGAGAAGAGUAGAGGGAAUUCUUAGUGGAGCGGUGAAAUGCGUAGAUAUUAAGAGGAACACCAAAGGCGAAAGCACUCUGCUUGCUCAUCACUGACACUCAGAGGCGAAAGCUGGGGGAGUGAAAUGGAUUAGAGACCCAUGUAAU
rnacentral:rRNA from 1 species